AUUGAACGCUGGCGGCAUGCCUUACACAUGCAAGUCGAACGGUAACAGGUCUUCGGACGCUGACGAGUGGCGAACGGGUGAGUAAUACAUCGGAACGUGCCCAGUCGUGGGGGAUAACUACUCGAAAGAGUAGCUAAUACCGCAUACGAUCUGAGGAUGAAAGAGGGGGACCUUCGGGCCUCGCGCGAUUGGAGCGGCCGAUGGCAGAUUAGGUAGUUGGUGGGAUAAAAGCUUACCAAGCCGACGAUCUGUAGCUGGUCUGAGAGGACGACCAGCCACACUGGGGCUGAGACACGGCCCAGGCUCCAACGGGAGGCAGUAGUGGGGAAUUGUGGACAAUGGGCGAAAGCCUGAUCCAGCAAUGCCGCGUGCAGGAUGAAGGACUUCGGGUUGUAAACUGCUUUUGUACGGAACGAAAAAUCUCCUUCUAAUACAGGGGGCCCAUGACGGUACCGUAAGAAUAAGCACCGGCUAACUACGUGCCAGCCGCCGCGGUAA
rnacentral:rRNA from 1 species